rnacentral:lncRNA from 1 species
UUACUAUGUUCCCAUUGCAAGAAAUAAAAUGGUGCCUUUGAGUAAAGCUGCUUCAUCAGACACUAGUUCAGCAUGCCAAGUUAAAGCCAUCAAUGGUGAAACAGCAGAUGUGAAGGCUAGUUGGCAUGAAAGCAUAUGAGUCAAAGACUUUCCUAUGGGAAAGAAAGUGCUUCAUUACACUUUAUCUAUAGUGAGAACAUUGGGUUUAUCAAGCUGUCUGAAAAUUAGAAUAUGAUGAGUUUUAUUACUCUUGCUCUGCCAGAGUGAAUUCAAUGGUUAAAAAGAAAGCAAUAACACCAUUUUAGGAAUUAUAAGAAGUGAUUAGGUUUUUAGCGUAUUUAAACUUGGAAGGAGCAGCAACUUUUAUCUUCGAAAGUAGCCUCUCUAAAAUAUCUAAGGGACAGAAGUUUAAUCCUUUUCUAAUUGCUACAUUUGCAAUAUGUAUUAACGCAGCUUUGGGCGCUUUAACUGAAUAAAGAAGUUGUAUGCUUGACUGAAGUGUAAAAUCUGAGAAACAAUGUUUUAAUUGCCUUGGAAA